ACAGCUGCAGCUGAGUCUCGUAGGUGCAGCCUCGGUAAGCCCCGGAGCGGAUCACCUUGCUGCGAAUGGCCUUCUUGCGCACCAGUGUGGGGCACCAAGAGGGGCCGACAACGGGCAGGCAGACUCAGGCCCAGCCACGUCAGGUCAGGCAAAGCCCCCUCCCACUCAAGUCCAGCACUCCCCUCCUAUGACCCCCUAACCCUCGCCCAGGUCCCCUGUCCACUGCCCGCUCCCUGGCUGGGGUGCCGCAUACCCCACUGCCCACAGGCCCCUCUGCAGGAAGCCGCCGGAAGGAGACCAAUGCAUGAACGUUCUGUGAAAGCUGAUCGCGGCUGAAGGGUUCCCGUACAAGGCCAGGGGGGCCCCCCGGGCUGGACAGUGGCUUCAGGGGCAUGUCUCCUGCAGACGCCAGGCAGGGCUCAGGCUGUGCCCGCUCCUCAGGGUGCUGCAAGAGACUACUUCUAAUCACUGCACUUAGGAUCAGAGAGACCUGUGUCCAGAUGCUGUGUGAGUCUGGGCAAGCUGCCCCACCUCUCCGAGGUUCCAUUUCCUCAUCCCCAAACCUGGGAUAAUGUGAGGAGGCAAGACCUGAAUGGAGGAGCAGGCACCCAGCAUGAUGCCAUCGGGCGGGGAGCGACACUGAACAGUGAGUCGCCAGCACCAGAAGAGCCAGAAAUAAAGGCUGCGUGCUCCCCUUGAUGCCUUCCUGGUUCCUCCCUCCUGUACUCUCUCCCCUCCUGCUUUUCUGGUCUCACACCCACUUUGUGAUCCUGACCGUUCUUCACAUCAUGUCCAUCACCUAUCCUCCAUUUGAUGU